ACCGGGCCUCGGCCGGAGAACAAGCCCGUGGGCUACAGCCCCGCGGCCUUCCGCAGUUCCGCCACGCGGUCCGUCC
rnacentral:tRNA from 1 species